GAGGACACGCUGGCGGCGUGCUUAACACAUGCAAGUCGAGCGGUAAGGCUCCUUCGGGAGUACACGAGCGGCGAACGGGUGAGUAACACGUGAGUAACCUGCCCCUUUCAUCGGAAUAACCAGUGGAAACGCUGGCUAAUGCCGAAUACGACCACCGAAGGCAUCUUCUGGUGGUGGAAAGCUCCGGCGGAAAGGGAUGGACUCGCGGCCUAUCAGCUUGUUGGUGAGGUAAUGGCUCACCAAGGCAACGACGGGUAGCCGGCCUGAGAGGGUGACCGGCCACACUGGGACUGAGACACGGCCCAGACUCCUACGGGAGGCAGCAGUGGGGAAUAUUGGACAAUGGGCGAAAGCCUGAUCCAGCAACGCCGCGUGAGGGAUGACGGCCUUCGGGUUGUAAACCUCUUUCAGUAGGGACGAAGCGAAAGUGACGGUACCUACAGAAGAAGGACCGGCCAACUACGUG
rnacentral:rRNA from 1 species